GUAAGCCAGAGCCCAUGCCUCGAGGGAGAGCCCCAAGUGGCAGGAAGAACGGCAACUCUAAGGUGUGGGCUCCACCAAAAGAAUCCUCUCAGGCACCCUAAGGAACAGCAGGUACCAGAUGUGGCCCUGCAGUUCUUCUUGGCCCAGGCCCGGAGGCAGAGACUGAGGGAGCAGCACCAAAUUUGGAUUCGAGAGAAGCUGAAGCAUUUGGAACAGAAGGAGGAGGUGGCAGAUGACCAGAUCAAAGACCUGGUGGCUGAAGAGGAGGUAUUUCGAGCCUGGCAGGGCCAGUGGGAGGAGCGGGCCAUGACCACAGAGCAUCGUCACUGCAGCCUGCUGGCGGGCAUCCUGGAAGAAGCCAUCAACCUGGCCACACAGAAUCAGGAGCUCCAAGCUCAGAACCAGCAACUUCAGCAGGGUGCAGACUAGGCUGGGGACAGUCAUGCUGGACCGUCCUGGGGAAAAACCUGAUCAGGAACCCUUUAGAGGAAGUUUCCUGUCUCCUCAUUCUGGAGGGUCCUAGAAGGGAGAGAAAGGUGAGACAAAACCAAGCUGAUCCUCAUCAUGGAUAAUUAAUAACACAAACCAUGUCUCAUUGUUCCAGUCCUUACUAAGUGCCUAAUAUUAUUUUAUUUAGCCUCUCCAGUUACCACAUAUAGUAGGUACCAUUUGAUCCUCAUUUCAGGGGUAAGGCAACUAAAGCCAGAAGAGGUUCAAUAACCGCCCAAGAACAGUCAGCUAAGUGGAAGAGCCAGAAUUCAAAUUCAAGUCUGUCCAUAGUUCUACACUGCACAGUAGUGGCUUACAAGCUUCUGGGUGCAUCAGAACUACCUAGGAAGCUUAAGAGGAAGAAGAAAAAGAUUCCCAAACACUACUCCCUAAG
rnacentral:lncRNA from 1 species